rnacentral:rRNA from 1 species
CCUACGGGAGGCAGCAGUGGGGAAUUUUGGACAAUGGGCGCAAGCCUGAUCCAGCCAUGCCGCGUGCGGGAAGAAGGCCUUCGGGUCGUAAACCGCUUUUGUCAGGGAAGAAACGGUUCGAGCUAAUACCUCGAACUAAUGACGGUACCUGAAGAAUAAGCACCGGCUAACUACGUGCCAGCAGCCGCGGUAAUACGUAGGGUGCGAGCGUUAAUCGGAAUUACUGGGCGUAAAGCGUGCGCAGGCGGUUAUGCAAGACAGAUGUGAAAUCCCCGGGCUCAACCUGGGAACUGCAUUUGUGACUGCAUGACUUGAGUACGGUAGAGGGGGAUGGAAUUCCGCGUGUAGCAGUGAAAUGCGUAGAUAUGCGGAGGAACACCGAUGGCGAAGGCAAUCCCCUGGACCUGUACUGACGCUCAGGCACGAAAGCGUGGGGAGCAAACAGGAUUAGAUACCCCUGGUAGUCCACGCCCUAAACGAUGUCAACUGGUUGUUGGGAGGGUUUCUUCUCAGUAACGAAGCUAACGCGUGAAGUUGACCGCCUGGGGAGUACGGCCGCAAGGUUGAAACUCAAAGGAAUUGACGG